rnacentral:rRNA from 1 species
CUAGUACGAGAGGACCGGAGUGGACGAACCGCUGGUGUUCGGGUUGUGUCGCCAGACGCAUUGCCCGGUAGCUAAGUUCGGAAUCGAUAACCGCUGAAAGCAUCUAAGCGGGAAGCGAGCCUCAAGAUGAGUCAUCCCUAGACCUUUAAGGUCUCUAAAGGGUUGUUGAAGACUACAACGUUGAUAGGUCGGGUGUGUAAGUGCUGUGAGGCAUUGAGCUAACCGAUACUAAUUGCCCGUGAGGCUUAACCAUACAACACCCAAGGGGUUU